rnacentral:rRNA from 1 species
CCUACGGGAGGCAGCAGUGGGGAAUCUUGCGCAAUGGGCGAAAGCCUGACGCAGCCAUGCCGCGUGAAUGAUGAAGGUCUUAGGAUUGUAAAAUUCUUUCACCGGGGACGAUAAUGACGGUACCCGGAGAAGAAGCCCCGGCUAACUUCGUGCCAGCAGCCGCGGUAAUACGAAGGGGGCUAGCGUUGCUCGGAAUUACUGGGCGUAAAGGGAGCGUAGGCGGAUAGUUUAGUCAGAGGUGAAAGCCCAGGGCUCAACCUUGGAAUUGCCUUUGAUACUGGCUAUCUUGAGUGUGGGAGAGGUAUGUGGAACUCCGAGUGUAGAGGUGAAAUUCGUAGAUAUUCGGAAGAACACCAGUGGCGAAGGCGACAUACUGGCCCAUUACUGACGCUGAGGCUCGAAAGCGUGGGGAGCAAACAGGAUUAGAUACCCUGGUAGUCCACGCUGUAAACGAUGAGUGCUAGUUGUCGGCAGGCAUGCCUGUCGGUGACGCAGCUAACGCAUUAAGCACUCCGCCUGGGGAGUACGGUCGCAAGAUUAAAACCUUAAGGAAUUGACGG